rnacentral:miRNA from 1 species
AGGUUGGGAGGGGUGUCAGUGCU